rnacentral:misc_RNA from 1 species
GUGAGUCAUCGAAUCUUUGAACGCACCUUGUGCCCUUUGGACAUCCAAGGGGCAUGCCUGUUUGAGUGUCUUGAAGCUCUCAAGCCAGCCUACCUUGCUGUGGGGUGGUUUGGAUAUUGGAUGCUUCUGCUGGACUUUUUUGAUAAAGGUCGGCUCAUCCAAAAUGCAUUUUGCGGCUUGGUCUGUGAACUCGGUGUGAUAAGGCAUCACUCGCCGGGUGUAACGGGCUUUGAAAAGCUGCUCCGUUUUUGCCCUCUUGAAGAGGAUGCAAAGUGAUUUGACCUCAAAUCAGGUAGGAUUACCCGCUGAACUUAAGCAUAUCAAUAAGCGGAGGA